ACACACCAUUUAUAUCAUUAAUAUGGAGCUCACCUCAGAGAGAAGCUCUGUUGCUGCACUAUCAAAGGAUCAAUUUAUAUCAUCAAUGGAGCUUUCAAGUCACAUAAGUCGAGUGUUCUUUUUUGAGUAUACACUGCAUUGGGGGAGCUUUCCUUCACACUCAAGAUCUCUGGUUGUACUGAUAAAUAG